rnacentral:lncRNA from 1 species
AUGCUGGCGCAAUGCUCACCGGUGACCCACAUUUUUAGCAACAUUAACAACUCGAAGGGAUGCAGUCAGCGUGCUCUGAGAGGCACAAACGGCACGGGCACGUUUUUAUGGCUUUUUGCAGGAGCGACCGACAGCCCGCCCAUCAGAGGGGCACCGCAGCGCACCCGCGAGGCGCCAUCCCCUCCCCGCUGGCAGCCAGGCACCGCGUUUCUGAGCCUAAUUCUGGGCUCCCCAGACCCGAGGCAGGGCCUGCAGGCAGCACGUCACCUUCCAGUUACCCGGCGGUGCCCGCAGGCACUGGAGCUACCCGCGCUCUUUGGGCAACGAGGCACUCUGAAGCGCGGCUGUCACUCUGAUGGCCUCUGCAGCAGCACAGCUCUUAAAUCCGCUGCCCCAAAGGCUCCUGUGCCCUCCACGCAGCCUCCUAACCAGCCACCGCCUCCCGAGACACCCGCUCGAGCCAUUUCCCUUUUCCCCCCCCAAGUAUGAAACAGUUCAACGCGCUUCUGACUGCACGCUUUAACGUCUGGCGUGCAGCUCACAACGCCGCUCAUUUAGCUAAUGAAGAUUAAAAAAAGACAGCUGCAAAGCCCGCUUUGCUAUCCCACUAGAGAAAGCGCCGUGAGCAGCUCGUGAGACAUCUGUGAACCUGUGCAUGAACUGCCCGCUCCUCCCAGCCCUCACGAUGAAGGGCUGAGCAGCGACAUUUGAGCCACAACAGUACCUCCUUUGUUCCAGAUGCAAAUCCCAUCACAGCCUAGUCCAUCUGUAUCUCUAUCGCCACCGAAGUCAACUCUUUGAAGGAUUCCUCCGAGAAGAAUCGGAAAAAAAUUAACCAAGUGCAACCGUCUGCUUGGCUACUGCCGACUGGGACAGGGAGGGAAGGAAAGGCAGAGCGUUACGGCCUACCGAGACACGUGCAGCAGGCGUGUUUCAGUUUCCAAGCAGAACACUGCCAUUUAUUUUGCCCUGUACAACUUUACAUAGCCUGGGGGCACAGCCGUGGCCAGCCGCAGUAACCCAGGGGCUGCAGGAACCGCUGGCACGGCUCGGGAGAAGCGGCUGCUGGCACAGUGCUCCCGGGUGCAGCGCUCCAUUCCCAGAGGUUACCUUCGGAACGUGGAGGCCUGCAGCUCGCACGCAAGGUCUGCCAGGAGAAAGCGAAAGGCUUUUGGCAAGAUACUCGGUUAUAGUUCUUCAUUUAUUAUUUACCGAGGCACUUCAACGCUGGACACUUACGAGAGACAUUCUAGACAACAAAGGCAGCACGUCAGGAAAAACCCUUUCCGCACACGUAACGUUCCGGCACGGCUGGCCGCGCGCUGCACGCGAGCUCGGCAGGUCGGACCCCAGGCAGGGCCUUCCCACAGCCCCUCCACCGCCGAGCGGCGGCGUGCUGAAUCGAAUCUGCCGACGCUGCAGCAGGGGGAUCUGCGCUCGUGGAACGGCGCGCAUCAAGGACACGGCGGCCAGGCAGCUGCUAACGGGCUCGGCAAGUGGGCGAAUUUACACCCGCUGCCCUCCUGCUUCUGCCGCCGCCUCCCAGAGCAGCCGGUGGGCACAAGAGCCUGCGAGCUGGGUUUUUACACUCAGGAUGCGCACGGUUCCACCCAUGCCCGCGUAACUUUUUAACCUGUAUGAAAAAAUGUAUUUUUCAUACCUCUGUAUUCUUCCACAACCACAUCAAUGCGAACCAAGAGGCUAAUUAUCCCCUACUUUGAAAGCCUGCUGGUAAAACAAAGGCACGGUUAGGUGAAGCUUUCUGAGAACACGGGAACACAAGGCUUGUAUCGAGCGUUCAAGACAAACGCAUACAGUGGGUUUGAACAGCACAGAUUUCAUAAACUGCUCCGAAUUUGUAGGUAAAAAAGGUGUUCCACAAAUUGUAAUCGGUAUUUCACCUGAAGAAAGAAAAAAGGUUGAUUCUUUAGAAGAGCAAAAAGGUCACCCUUACCUAAUUCCACAGAGAAAAAUCAAAACCAGGGGAAGAAAGAGCCCUCUCAAUCAGUUUGGCUAGCCCCCCAUCUGGUCUGGAUUACCUCUUCAUUCCUCCCUUUCUAACGGUUUGCCCACUCGCACAAAGCAGUGGGCCGGGAUGGCGCAGUGCUCAGGUGCCUCAGCUAAGCACCUGCCAGCUACGUGCCAGCCUGACCCCGGCCCUCCCGCGGGCAUACGAGUCAGCCCCGGAGGCCCCGAGCCUCCCGAACUCACUGGUGCAGGUAGCGGGGACCUCGCCUGGGGAGGCCGAUACCAUCUACAAAUGAAAGCCAUGAAAUGUCCCAACUAAAUCAAGGGCUCAUCACCGCUGGGAAGGCUGGAUGGUGUGACUUACAGAGCCGGAACCACGUAUCGCCAACCUUAAGCUGUCCUAGAAGGAGAGUGACUUCGGCACACCAGCUAAAACUUCGUACGGCAAAUGGAAGUUGUCACUCUGAAACCUUAAAAUAUUUCUCUUAGAUUCCAGCUUUAAAAAUAGACCGGCAUUAUUUCCAUGACUGAUUUUUCUUUAAAUAAAUGCAAAUGAUCCAUCCA